CCAAGACGACGAUGCCAGAUCUCAGCAGGUGGAUUCGCCAAGCCUUGAAUCGCAGCCACGGCCUCCAUUCCUCUAAAAAAGUACAGCCCAUUCAGUUGUUUACCCGCUCCAAUCAGCAUCGACAUGAUGCGAUCCUGAACAAGGCAAAGUUUGUCAGUAAUCUGAAAUAGAUAUUCACUGUCUCAAGUAAGCUGAGAGACUAAUAUAAGGUGACAAUGAAGACCAUCAACACAGUAAACAUUUUUCAAACACACAGAAGAACCCUUCUCAGCUUCCAAUUUUAAAAACUUUCACUUACUAAAAGAAUUACAAUAUAUGCCACUGAUAAUAGUAUAACAUAGUUUGUUAAAAAAAAGGGUUGAACCUAAACCCCUC
rnacentral:lncRNA from 1 species